GACGAACGCUGGCGGCGUGCUUAACACAUGCAAGUCGAGCGGUAAGGCCCUUUCGGGGGUACACGAGCGGCGAACGGGUGAGUAACACGUGGGUGACCUGCCCUUAGCUCUGGGAUAAGCCUGGGAAACUGGGUCUAAUACCGGAUAUGACUCCAUGACGCAUGUUGUGGGGUGGAAAGCCUUGUGCGGCUAGGGAUGGGCCCGCGGCCUAUCAGCUUGUUGGUGGGGUGAUGGCCUACCAAGGCGACGACGGGUAGCCGGCCUGAGAGGGCGACCGGCCACACUGGGACUGAGACACGGCCCAGACUCCUACGGGAGGCAGCAGUGGGGAAUCUUGCGCAAUGGGCGAAAGCCUGACGCAGCGACGCCGCGUGGGGAGUGACGGCCUCGGU
rnacentral:rRNA from 1 species